AUGGUUUGUCCGCUUGGAUCG
rnacentral:snRNA from 1 species